rnacentral:lncRNA from 1 species
AGUCCAACUUGCAGGAGUUGGUUGAUGAGGAAAUACCAAUGAUUAUGCACGUGGGUUGCCAAGCGAUAGUUGGCAGGCCUUCAUCUGGUCGAGGCACCAAGUGUUGAUGUGUUUGGAUAUUCUUGAAUCUUGGGCUUUUUCAUAUGGUCGGCCCAUGUGAGAUUUCCCCCAACACUAUUCAUUCCAAGUCCUCUGAUGAAUUCAGCCAUCAGAUGUCUUCAUGGGGCAUCCAAGCAUAGAAUCGUGGUAUAUGCUUUUCCUAUAUAUAG